rnacentral:rRNA from 1 species
AUUGAACGCUGGCGGCAGGCCUAACACAUGCAAGUCGAGCGGCAGCGACAUAAACAAUCCUUCGGGUGCGCUUAUGGGCGGCGAGCGGCGGACGGGUGAGUAAUGCCUGGGAAUAUGCCCUGAUGUGGGGGAUAACCAUUGGAAACGAUGGCUAAUACCGCAUAAUCUCCUUGUUCAUUACGAGCGGGAGCAAAGAGGGGGACCUUCGGGCCUCUCGCGUCAGGAUUAGCCCAGGUGAGAUUAGCUAGUUGGUGAGGUAAGAGCUCACCAAGGCGACGAUCUCUAGCUGGUCUGAGAGGGAUGAUCAGCCACACUGGAACUGAGACACGGUCCAGACUCCUACGGGAGGCAGCAGUGGGGAAUAUUGCACAAUGGGGAAACCCUGAUGCAGCCAUGCCGCGUGUGUGAAGAAGGCCUUCGGGUUGUAA